GUGUCUUCACGGUUGAGGAGGAUGGAUGGUUUCUCCAAACUGUGGACACCGAAUGGUCUUGUGAGAGUCCUGACAUCCAAGAGGCCAAGAUCCCAGAAGACAACACUAGGGAUCAGGAGCUGGACGUGGAGAGCUUUGUCAGUUCCCCGAGCGUCCAGAGGCCAAGCACCGUGUUGAGGAGGCUGCAAAACACCGCUGCUGACCAAGAGCCAUCCCUUGGAGAG